UUAACACAUGCAAGUCGAACGGAUUCUUAGGAAUCAGUGGCGGACGGGUGAGUAACACGUGAAAACCUGCCUCUAGGACGGGGAUAACAGAGGGAAACUUCUGCUAAUUCCCGAUGAGCCUGCGGGUAAAAGGAUUUAUCGCCUAGAGAGGGGUUCGCGUCCGAUUAGCUAGUUGGUGGGGUAAAGGCUCACCAAGGCUGCGAUCGGUAGCUGUUCUGAGAGGAAGAACAGCCACACUGGGACUGAGACACGGCCCAGACUCCUACGGGAGGCAGCAGUGGGGAAUUUUCCGCAAUGGGCGAAAGCCUGACGGAGCAAUACCGCGUGAGGGAAGAAGGUCCUUGGAUCGUAAACCUCUUUUCUCAGGGAAGAAGUUCUGACGGUACCUGAGGAAUAAGCCUCGGCUAACUCCGUGCCAGCAGCCGCGGUAAUACGGAGGAUGCAAGCGUUAUCCGGAUUCAUUGGGUUUAAAGGGUGCGCAGGCGGGCUUGUAAGUCAGUGGUGAAAUACUGCCGCUUAACGGUAGAAUUGCCAUUGAUACUGCGAGUCUUGAGUAUGGUUGAGGUAGGCGGAAUGUGCAGUGUAGCGGUGAAAUGCAUAGAGAUUGCACAGAACACCGAUUGCGGAGGCAGCUUACUAAGCCAUAACUGACGCUGAGGCACGAAAGCGUGGGGAGCGAACAGGAUUAGAUACCCUGGUAGUCCACGCUGUAAACGAUGUUCACUCGCUGUUUGCGAUACACAGUAAGCGGCUGAGCGAAAGCAUUAAGUGAACCACCUGGGGAGUACGAUCGCAAGGUUGAAACUCAAAGGAAUUGACGGGGGCCCGCACAAGCGGAGGAACAUGUGGUUUAAUUCGAUGAUACGCGAGGAACCUUACCUGGGCUUAAAUGUAGAGUGCAUUUCCGAGAAAUCGGGAUUUCCUUCGGGACUCUUUACAAGGUGCUGCAUGGUUGUCGUCAGCUCGUGCCGUGAGGUGUCGGGUUAAGUCCCAUAACGAGCGCAACCCUUAUCGCUAGUUGCCAUCAGGUAAAGCUGGGGACUCUAGCGAGACUGCCACCGUAAGGUGAGAGGAAGGUGGGGAUGACGUCAAAUCAGCACGGCCCUUAUGUCCAGGGCUACACACGUGUUACAAUGGCCGGUACAGAGGGAAGCUACCUGGUGACAGGUUGCCAAUCUUAAAAGCCGGUCUCAGUUCGGAUUGGAGUCUGCAACCCGACUCCAUGAAGUUGGAUUCGCUAGUAAUCGCGCAUCAGCCAUGGCGCGGUGAAUACGUUCCCGGGCCUUGUACACACCGCCCGUCAAACCAUGGGAGCUGGGGGUGCCUGAAGUC
rnacentral:rRNA from 1 species